AUUGAACGCUGGCGGCAGGCCUAACACAUGCAAGUCGAACGGUAACAGGAAGCAGCUUGCUGCUUUGCUGACGAGUGGCGGACGGGUGAGUAAUGUCUGGGAAACUGCCUGAUGGAGGGGGAUAACUACUGGAAACGGUAGCUAAUACCGCAUAACGUCGCAAGACCAAAGAGGGGGACCUUCGGGCCUCUUGCCAUCGGAUGUGCCCAGAUGGGAUUAGCUAGUAGGUGGGGUAACGGCUCACCUAGGCGACGAUCCCUAGCUGGUCUGAGAGGAUGACCAGCCACACUGGAACUGAGACACGGUCCAGACUCCUACGGGAGGCAGCAGUGGGGAAUAUUGCACAAUGGGCGCAAGUCUGAUGCAGCCAUGCCGCGUGUAUGAAGAAGGCCUUCGGGUUGUAAAGUACUUUCAGCGGGGAGGAAGGGAGUAAAGUUAAUACCUUUGCUCA
rnacentral:rRNA from 1 species